GAUGAAGAACGUAGCGAAAUGCGAUAAGUAAUGAGAAUUGCAGAAUUCAGUGAAUCAUCGAAUCUUUGAACGCACAUUGCGCCCGCCAGUAUUCUGGCGGGCAUGCCUGUUCGAGCGUCAUUUCAACCCUCAAGACCCCUUCGGGGGACUUGGUGUUGGGGACCGGCACAGGGGCCUGCCUGCUUGUCUUGCAGCGCCCUCGCCGCCCCCGAAAUGAAUUGGCGGCCUCGUCGCGGCCUCCCCUGCGUAGUAGCACAACCUCGCAACGGGAACGUGACGGCGGCCACUGCCGUAAAACAACCCCAAUUUUAUUAGAGUUGACCUCGAAUCAGGUAGGAAUACCCGCUGAACUUAAGCAUAUCAAUAAGCGGAGGA
rnacentral:misc_RNA from 1 species